GUUCGGGUAGCUCAGUUGGUAGAGCGGGAGACUGAAAAUCUCUGUGUCGCUGGUUCAAUUCCAGUCCCGGACA
rnacentral:tRNA from 1 species